UACGUAGGUGGCUAGCGUUGUCCGGAUUUACUGGGCGUAAAGAGCGCGCAGGCGGUCGUUCAAGUCGAGUGUGAAAGCCCCCGGCUCAACUGGGGAGGGUCACUCGAUACUGAUCGACUCGAAGGCAGGAGAGGGAAGCGGAAUUCCCGGUGUAGUGGUGAAAUGCGUAGAUAUCGGGAGGAACACCAGUGGCGAAGGCGGCUCUCUGGACCGUAACUGACGCUGAGGCGCGAAAGCGUGGGGAGCAAACAGG
rnacentral:rRNA from 1 species